rnacentral:lncRNA from 1 species
CUCAGCCUCUCUCUUCAUCUGUACAUUAGCCUAGCACAGUGCCUGGCACGUGGUGGCUCGGUAAUAAAUAUGUCCUAAGUCCUGGGGGGAGUAAAUGUCAGCCUGGCGUUCACUGUGGAUGAGUCUAGUCUUCAGAGCUUUGGUGCUAGACCCUCCCCUGCCACUUACUGCCAGAGGAUCCUGGGCAAAGUACUCAGCCUCACUGAGCUUCCAGGAUUUGUGAUCCGUCAUGCGGGGGUAGUGACACCCCCACUGCAGGGAGCUUUGCUGACUGGUCCGAGUCGCCCAGCCGUGGCGGUUGCUAGAGCGCCGGCCCCUGGGAGUGCUGUGUUCGUGGGAGCUGUUGCUAUUUAUUCAGACACUGAGAGACAUCAUGACUCUACCCGUGGGAUCUCCGAAGACAAAUCCGCCCAGGAGCUCCCCGACUUCCUGUCGAACCUUCAAACCGGCCUCUGUUCCUCUUAUUCAUCGCCCUGCUCAGUGUCUCAAGCGAGGGGGCGAAGAAUGGAUGAAACGCAGCCAGCGCCCUGCUUGCCCAGCGGCACAGCCGGGCGAGAGCUUGGUCCACCGCGAGGAAGGAGCGCUUGGUCCCUACACCCGCGUGCGACUGUGGCCACACUCGGGGGCUACAGGGACCCAGAGGGGACUUUCCUCGUUGAGGUGAAGACGCCCAUCAGAGCAGAUAGCAAAGGAUCCACAGGAAAGCCGAGGCUGACCAUUCAGCUGCAGCGCGGAUGGGACAGCAGGCCCUCAGAGAGGGGCCGACGGGGAAGGAGAGGGCAGCUGGAGACAGCAGUGUGA